rnacentral:rRNA from 1 species
CAGUAGCCACGGGAAUACAGAGGGUGCGAGCGUUAAUCGGAUUUACUGGGCGUAAAGCGUGCGUAGGCGGCUUUUUAAGUCGGAUGUGAAAUCCCUGAGCUUAACUUAGGAAUUGCAUUCGAUACUGGGAAGCUAGAGUAUGGGUGAGGAUGGUAGAAUUCCAGGUGUAGCGGUGAAAUGCGUAGAGAUCUGGAGGAAUACCGAUGGCGAAGGCAGCCAUCUGGCCUAAUACUGACGCUGAGGUACGAAAGCAUGGGGAGCAAACAGGAUUAGAUACCCCGUAGUCCCUGUCUCUUAUACA